rnacentral:rRNA from 1 species
GACGAACGCUGGCGGCGUGCCUAAUACAUGCAAGUAGAACGCACAGUUUAUACCUUCGCUUGCUACACCAUAGACUGUGAGUUGCGAACGGGUGAGUAACGCGUAGGUAACCUGCCUGGUAGCGGGUGUUAACUAUUGGAAACGAUAGCUAAUACCGCAUAAUCUUGAUUAUUGCAUGCUAAUUGAUUGACAGAUGCUAUUGCAUCACUACCAGAUGGACCUGCGUUGUAUUAGCUAGUAGGUGAGGUAACGGCUCACCUAGGAGACGAUACAGAGCCGACCGGAGAGGGGGAACGGCCAAACUGGGACUGGGACACGGCCCAGACUCCGACGGGAGGCAGCAGUAGGGAAUCGUGGGCAAUGGACGAAAGGCGGACCGAGCAAGGCCGCGUGAGUGAAGAAGGUUGUCGGAUCGUAAAGCGCUGUUGUAAGAGAAGAACGGGGGUGAGAGUGGAAAGUUCACACUGUGACGGUAGCGUACCAGAAAGGGACGGCUAACUACGUG